ACGCCGCGUGAGGGAAGAAGGCCUUCGGGUUGUAAACCUCUUUCAGCAGGGACGAAGCUACUCGGGUGAACAGCCCAGAGGGUGACGGUACCUGUAGAAGAAGCCCCGGCUAACUACGUGCCAGCAGCCGCGGUAAUACGUAGGGGGCAAGCGUUGUCCGGAUUUACUGGGCGUAAAGAGCGUGUAGGCGGCCAGGCAGGUCUGUUGUGAAAACUGGAGGCUCAACUUCCAGACGUCGACAGAAACCGCUUGGCUAGAGUCCGGAAGAGGAGAGUGGAAUUCCUGGUGUAGCGGUGAAAUGCGCAGAUAUCAGGAAGAACACCAAUGGCGAAGGCAGCUCUCUGGGACGGUACUGACGCUGAGACGCGAAAGCGUGGGGAGCGAACAGGAUUAGAUACCCUGGUAGUCCACGCCGUAAACGAUGGGUGCUAGGUGUGGGAGGUGUCGACUCCUUCCGUGCCGCAGCUAACGCAUUAAGCACCCCGCCUGGGGAGUACGGCCGCAAGGCUA
rnacentral:rRNA from 1 species